rnacentral:rRNA from 1 species
UACGUAGGGUGCGAGCGUUAAUCGGAAUUACUGGGCGUAAAGCGUGCGCAGGCGGUUCGUUAAGUCAGAUGUGAAAGCCCCGGGCUCAACCUGGGAACUGCAUUUGAAACUGGCGGGCUUGAGUGUGGCAGAGGGGGGUGGAAUUCCGCGUGUAGCAGUGAAAUGCGUAGAGAUGCGGAGGAACACCGAUGGCGAAGGCAGCCCCCUGGGCCAGCACUGACGCUCAUGCACGAAAGCGUGGGGAGCAAACAGG